UGAAAGAGGAUGGCAAUCUCGCUGAAGCUGUUUCUUUUUCUUCACAACAUAUAGGAAAGUGUUGCCCCUUUUUGGAGGAAAGUAACAACCUCCACCAACACUACUUGAAUCAGUACUGAACGAAUGUCAGGUCCUUGGGAAAUUCUCCAAUCCUGUCUCCUGUCCUGGCCGGGUGUGCUCCUGGUGCACCAUUCGACUAAGUCAAUUUGAACUAUUUGGGAGACCUUUGUACCUACGUUUCCUUCUGCUUGGAAGAUCCUUUCUGUUUUGUCAGCUCUUACUUCCAUGUUGUGGAAAACUGAUCUGACCUCCUAGUCCUGAAUCAGGGGGCCAUAAAGAAAAUUGAUGAGGACAACUGGCCUCCCAGUAUGUGGAUUCAGUUUCCAUAUGUCAAUUUACCAACUCCCACUGGUAGUCUGAAGAGAUAUGGCUACUGGAGAACAGAAAAUCACCAGUAUUAAUAAAAGCAAUUUUAAGUGUUUACCUUUUAGUAUUUGAAUAGCUUUGUUAAAGAGACGUACUCAAGAAUACUAUGAAGAGACUCUUAUUGUACUCCUUACCUGGAGAUAAUUGUGAUGCCAGAAAUUCAAAUUUAUAUUCAACAAUAUGGUUUUUCAACCAUCAAUAUUAUAAACAUCUAGGCAGUGUCUAUUGUUUGCGCAUUUGCCAUCCUCUAAAAUGAGAUUAUUCUAAGCAUAAA
rnacentral:lncRNA from 1 species